GUUGAUGAAAAUACGGAGAGAUCCUGGGAAAUGAUUCAUAAUGCUGCAAAUCAAGAGUCAGAGAGCAAGUCACCAGCUCAGGAACCUCCCAUAAGGAAUCUACCACAGUCACCAUCUCAGAUACAUGAAGCAGAGAGUGAUACAGCUGCCACUGACCCCAGUCCCACAUAGAA